CUGAAAAUCCCUACAUGACCUGCAGUGAUGGCCAAUGGACAGGAACAAUAAGAUGCAUGAAGUCCUGUACAGUCACAACUGAGGAAAUGGGUCAGAAUAACAUACGCCUGGCCCAUAGUCCCCAAAGAAAAAUAUACUUGGCACAUUUGGAUUUUAUCUCCUUCAAAUGCAACUGGUGGAAAUCUCUGCAGGCAGACAGUCCUGGCCUCCGUCAGCAGUGUAUGGACUGUGUUAUGACUUUGCCUCGUUGUGCCUAAUUUUGGCCUUACUUACACUGAUUUAGUUGAGUGUUCCUAAAGAAACUCAGUGAAGAAUCUAAACCUUACUCAAAAGGAUAUGAUUGUUUUUUGCUCCAUGCUGAAAUAAACAGAAUCAUUUUAC